rnacentral:lncRNA from 1 species
GGAGCUCUCGGUGCCGCCCCCGGUGCGGGGACAGCGCUGCGGCAGCUCUGCCACCAGAGGGACCGGUAGCUCCGUUUAUGAGUGGUCUCUUCAGCUCUCUUGAAACCGUGCAGUUUGAUUUACAGAUGCCUGGGUUUGUUGUUUUGUCAGUCUAGCAAACAGCUUGGCUGGUAGAGUCACUUGCUGUGCUUCUAAUCCUCAAACUGGAGUGUGUGAGAAGUGAGCUUCUAGAAGGCAUCUGCUGGUUCUGCACAAGUCCCCGUUGCACCAUCCCCCUCGCCCUUUUGUUUUCCAACACGAAACGCAUUUAAAACGCGUGAAAGGAAGUUGGAUUUACAUAUGUAUGAUUAACUGCAGCGUUCUCUCAGGAGACUCAACACAAAUAGCUUAGUAAGAAUAAUGUGGUUAAUAUGAACAAACAACAGCAGUAACAUUAGCCAGAUUAGAUGUGCUCCCUCAGGCUUUGAUACACAAGUUAGUCAUCAGUAUGUGAGGAGAGAGGGAGUUUUAAUGUGUGGACUAGGAAAGCAGAAUUAAGCUGGUGCACAGAAAGAGCUGAUAUUCUCUUUUUAGGACUCAUUAGAGCAUAAUGGACUUCUUUUAAUUAACUGCAGGCACUUCUAGCCAUUCCAGAGAACCUGCGAGAGUGGAAGCUGACGUGAAUUUGGAAAAAAACCUCCAAUCUAGGGGAGGGCCACCCUCAGCAUCCUGCUGUGUCUCUAAGAGGGACUGCACGGAGAACUGGCUUUUCCUCCUGCCCUGUGGUCCCAGUGCAGCACUUACCAUGUUCCCAGUGGAUGUAUCACCAAAUAUGGUGAGAAGUCUUUUACAUGUUUCCAGAGUGUCUACGAGUCUGCUGUUAGUCAAAUUUCAGUAUUGUUAUUCUGUUCAUUGGAUAGCUUACUUCCUUUUCACUCUCUGAAUUGUUAAAUGGGUGUGGGCUGAUAACAAAGCCUGAGCCUAGAAGAGAACUGUGUUGUGGCACUGCAUCAGGGAGCCCCACACCUGUGCUCAUACAUGUCCUGGAGCUGGCAGAUUCAUGGCAGGGAGUGUGCACUGCUCCUUGAGGCCAACACCUGCCCCAUGCCCUUCUUGAGCUGUGAAGCCUGCUUGUAGAUAAAGGAGUACCUUUUGUCCUCUGUGGUCUCAGCCUAGCACAGGUUUGUCUCCUGAAGCUCAUCCUUGGUAAGCUGCAUGGAGAGGUGGAUGCAGAUGUAGUUU